UGUCCGCCGCAGGGGCUGAUGGGAGGUCUGAGGACCUGGUAGAAACCACGCCGCCCUCGUGCGACCUCACAGCUCGUCCUCGUUCGGCCUCGGCUGCAUCGGAGCGCCACUUCUCCCCAGGUUCACCAGAGGAAACACCACUGCACAAAAUGCUUCUCCUCCCAGCUGCUGCUCUGUGCUUUCUGUGUUCAGCGCUGGUUGCCAUGGCAGCAGAGCUGAUUCAGGAUGAUUUAACAUUGACCAGGAGAGUUGGUGAAAAAGUCUCCUUCAGCUGUCGAGGAACUCAACAGUGUGACUACGAUUAUGUAUUCUGGUUCCAGAAGAAAGACACAGAAACAUUCAGAAGGAUUCUUUAUAUUGACAGGAGGGGUUGUACCGUAGCUCACAGGUACAAUCAUCCUCAGAAAGAUGAUUUCUCAGCUGUGAAUAAACAGGACGGCUGUGAGUUGGAGAUCCAGACAGUUAAACUCCAUCAUUCAGCCUCCUACUACUGCGGCUGUGGGAAGAGUGAUCCCCACAGUGAGAAAUGAUCCCUGCAGCCUGAACAAAAACCAACAGAUGAACAGAUGUCAAACAGUGUUUGUGACAGGAAGUAAACCACAGCCCAGGUUCACAUAUUUCACCUCCAUCUCAGCAGAGUCACAAACAUCCUGAAGUGACACAUUUAUUAAAGAUGAGAUUUAUUCACAGUUUCAUCACAUAUUCCAGCAGGAUUUCUGUAGUUUAACACAGUGAAGACAAACGAGCAACACAGCAACACAACGAUGAAGCAAACAAGAGAAAACCAAGAGAAACAUGACGCAGAUAAAAGGCUCCAAUAACAAACAUCUGUCAUUUUUCAUUCAGUCAUUUUGGACAAUAAGACAACAAACUGCAGAGAAGAUAUUUGAGAUGAAGAUGUGAUAUAUGUGUUCAAUAAUAUAUUCUGGACAGGGCCACUGCCAAGCGGGGCCAGGAGGGCCGAGACCAACCGCUGGCCCCUUCAUUGCAUAUGUUUAGAAUGGCAUGGCACUCUUAAAUACUCAGUUCUGAUUGGUCAAUCCCCAAAAUUCAGCGGUGUUUAUUUCUUGACAGACGACCGCCUGCUCAGGAAUUCUUAACUGUCAUUGGCUACAGGGGCAAC